UACGUAGGGGGCUAGCGUUAUCCGGAAUUACUGGGCGUAAAGGGUGCGUAGGCGGUCUUUCAAGCCAGAAGUGAAAGGCUACGGCUCAACCGUAGUAAGCUUUUGGAACUGUAAGACUUGAGUACAGGAGAGGAGAGUGGAAUUCCUAGUGUAGCGGUGAAAUGCGUAGAUAUUAGGAGGAACACCAUUAGCGAAGGCGGCUCCCUGGACUGUAACUGACGCUGAAGCACGAAAGCGUGGGGAGCAAACAGGAUUAGAUACCCUGGUAGUCCCUGAGCGGG
rnacentral:rRNA from 1 species